GAGUUAUUUGAGAGAAAGUAUGAAACAGAAAGCAAUUACAUUGGCUAUAUUAGCAAGCAUUUGAAGUUCAUCAGAAGGGUUUUAUGCAGAAAGUUGCAGCAUCACUUUUUCAUUCUUAUCAGGUAAGAUUAUCACUUUUUCCUUGCAUCCAUUAAACACUGCUAUGGCCUCUUGUUAUUCUUAUGUCCUUGGCACUUCUCUUCUUUGUUUUUCUUUUCUUUUUCUUAGAGCUUCUUUGCUCCUUGUUUGCUUAGUGUCAUGUGUUGCACAAGCCUUUGGCAUUUUCUUUUUCUUAUCAGUGCACUACACAUAUCCACUUCAGGCAUUUUAGUUCACAUUUC
rnacentral:lncRNA from 1 species